UACGGAAGGCAGCAGUGGGGAAUAUUGCACAAUGGGCGCAAGCCUGAUGCAGCCAUGCCGCGUGUAUGAAGAAGGCCUUCGGGUUGUAAAGUACUUUCAGUCGUGAGGAAGGUGUUAAGGUUAAUAACCUUAGCAAUUGACGUUAGCGACAGAAGAAGCACCGGCUAACUCCGUGCCAGCAGCCGCGGUAAUACGGAGGGUGCGAGCGUUAAUCGGAAUUACUGGGCGUAAAGGGCACGCAGGCGGUUAAUUAAGUUGGAUGUGAAAUCCCCGGGCUUAACCUGGGAAUGGCAUUCAAGACUGGUUAGCUAGAGUCUUGUAGAGGGGGUAGAAUUCCAUGUGUAGCGGUGAAAUGCGUAGAGAUGUGGAGGAAUACCGGUGGCGAAGGCGGCCCCUGGGACAAAGACUGACGCUCAUGUGCGAAAGCGUGGGGAGCAAACAGGAUUAGAUA
rnacentral:rRNA from 1 species